UAGCCAACCUGCUAUAGAGAUACCUGAAA
rnacentral:piRNA from 1 species